rnacentral:lncRNA from 1 species
UAACAUAAUAUCAACCGGAGGCCCGAGUUAAAACAGAAGGUGCUGCUUUGCCUCCAGAAUAUUUGUGUGGUGAUCCUCUAAUUUUUCAAGCGAUGGGCUAUAGGAUGAGGACCUGCCAGGGCCAAGAAGACACAUUUCAGAAGGAGGCUCUUAAAGGCCAAGCCAAGAAGCAAGAGCACGGAUUUACAUCUCAUUGGCUGAGGGUGCUCCAGGAAUUUCUCACACAGGUCAGCACCCACAUCCUCUAGUGGCUUGUAGGGAGGAUGCACCCAGCCACCCAUUUUCUCCUUUUGUACACAGGGGUCUUUGUUCCCAAGUUCUAAAAUGUUGGCUCAGCUCCAGUCAGAUUUAGAGAGUGCCAUGCAGCUGAUGCUGUGGCCUCCAGCUGCUAGGAUUAUAUUUUAAUCAUCUAAAUCCACGGCCUCCCAACGUGUGUCCACACCCCAUGCUGGUCGAGCUACUUCAGAAUCACGGAAGGCACUUCCCAUAAAUAUGAAU